GUCAGUGCAUGUUUUGUGUCGGAGUGUUAAAGUAAUUUAUUUUCGUGGGAUAGUAGUGAAAUAGUGGUUAUUGUUUGUUGUUGGUGUCCAAAAAAUAAAAAUAAAAUAAAAAGUAAUAAAGUGGAAAUAAGUGCCGGGACACGUUCUCUUUUAUGUAAAGAUAUGCUGAAGUAAGCAUUAACAUAAAAUAUGUGAAUGCAAAUUGCAAAAUAAGCUCAACGACAAUAACGAAUUCAUUCAAAGUAUAUUUAGUUGGAAAUUUAAGUGAAUUAAAUGUGCUUAAUUUAGUGGUACAUAUUUUUGAGUGGUUGUGAAAAUUGUAUGUGCGUGAGUAAACCGAGUUCAUCGGUCCAACGAAUUCGGUAAUUGCUUAUUUAAUAUACAAAUGUAAGAGUAUGUAUUUUACUUCGUUUGGCUGAUGCACAUCAGCACCAAAAGCCAGACAGCGGUUUUGCGAGAUACAUAAAGGCGAUGCAUUCAAUGUACAUACUUAGAACUCAUAGUCUGCUGCAUUGUAUAAGCCUAUAUAGAAAGUAGAUUUAUACAAUGGUCUGCUGUCUGGUAGUGGUGUAUGCAACGACCGGUGUUUUAAGGGCAAGUCGAUAUAAAAGUGGAAAAUAUAAGUGUAUAACUCAUUCGAAAUGGGAAAAAUGCGUACUUUAAAUAGUCAAAAUUUUGAACUUUAAACCUAAAUAUCUCGAAAACUAUAAGUUUCCCGCGGCUAUAUCUAUAUAUAUUCUUGAUCUGGAGGAUCUCCUCUAUCCGCCCAUACCCAUUUUAUCCCCGAAAGCGUGGGACGUUAUACUAAAGUUUUCCCCAAUUAGGAAUUCUUAGCAUCGAAUUUUUGGAUUAAAUCUUUGCUUGCAGUUGCCACCAUUCAAACCAUAUUAAAAACGAAGGAGUGAUCAAAGUAUAUUUAACUGACAUCGUUUCAAGUCGCCGUAACAAUCAAUAUAAUAAUAUUUCAAAAUCUGCUUUUUUAAACGAUAAAUUUUGGAUCUGUUUAACGAACUGAAAGAGCAACUAUCAAGUUGCCCCGAGAAAACACGUGCGCUGUGCCGCACUGUCCAGUCGACAGUGUGGGAAGCCGUUGUAUCCUCAUUAAACGCAGCGCUUGGCGGUGGUGGGAGUGGUGCAGUAACAUCAUCGGCGGAUAGCAGUGGUGGCUCCGGCGUAUCCGGACCAGGACCAGGUGGCGGUGAGGGCGUUGGUCGCUUAGCAUCUAUAAUGGGCGCAGUUAGCUCACGCCACAUCUCUACCAAUGAUGCGCUGGUAGAGGAAGGCGGUGGAGGUAAUAAUCAUGAUCAGGGCAACGGAAAUUGUUCAAUUUCACACAAAAAUGGCAUAACCACCGCAACUGGUGGUUUUUUACAAAAACAAGAUUUGCAUUAUGAUAUCGGUCCGAGUUCUCAGUAUCAUCAUGUACGUCAACCAAGCGUUCGCAGUCGAAGUCAGCAACCCAUGCCAACUACAGAUGAAUUGGAUAGGCGUUUCGCAAAAGUUUUGAUAUAUUUCUACUUCAGCAAAUACCAAAAUAGUUUUGUCGAGUUCCUGUUUGUAUACUUAACAUAUUGUCAUUCCACCCAUGCAUUUUAUGCGAAGUUCGUUGCAUCUUUUAAUAAAAUAGCGCGAUUAUCAAAACUACUGGAAGGAACAAAAAAAGAAGAGACUACAGCGCAGUAGUAAGCGGCGCGCUUUCGAAACUUAAACAAAUACAGCAAUUAGAUAUGAUUGGCGUUCCACUAACGCUUGAGUGCAAUCAAUAAUCAAGAAAUUAGUCACUAUUUAAUUUGUAAAUUAGACGCAAAUGUUGGACAACGAUGUAGUAGAAAAGGCAACGCUUAAGAAGCCACCAUGAUUAACCCGUAUUGGAUUACGUUGGCUGGCUAUGAGCUAAGAGUAAACGGGACCAGUUUUUCAAAUGCCAUGAAACCUAUCCAACCAGUCAGCUCUAGUCAGUACUCCAAUCAACCAACCGCACAAAUGAUGUGAUAUGUUGUUGUCAGUGUUUGUAUGUACGAGCGUGUGGUUGUGGCAAGAUGAAAUCCGAAAACCACAACACGUCUCUCAGAUUUUUUACUACGAAAUGCAAGUUACACACAUAGUCUUUUGUCAGCUCGGUUGGUUGUUGCUAUUUUUGCUUUAGUGCUUUACAUUACAAAUUUCAACAAAAUUCAAACUUUGCUCACUUCUCCAUCGUCGUGUUGCAGAUAACCGCUAUUGCUUGGGGGAAAAAUCGAAGGUGCCCACUAAGUGUUUGUCUAUCGUUGUUGCUGUUUAUGUGGAUUCCUGCUGCUUCUGUCAGGUCUUGUGGUGCCAUAACUGGUGUUGGCGUUGACACUGAUGCCGACUUUGCUGUUGCUUCGGUGCAUAAAACCAAGUCUUAGAAUAGCUAAUUGAAUGUGUAAGCGUGUAGCGACAAUAGGAGUUAGUGUAACCAGAGGUGGACCAGUUUGUGUCCAAAAAAGGCACAGCGGAUGCAAUACCAUAUAUUGUAUGUAAAUAAAAAAUGUAUUUGCAAUAGA